rnacentral:misc_RNA from 1 species
CAUACUCAUUGAUCGUCUGGUGAUUAAGUUCUCAUGCUGUUUCUUUGACCACCGCUCCUGAAUACUGUCUUCUAGCUUACUAAGUUGAGUAACUGCAUAAUAUAGAGUAUUCAGUCGGACACAAAGUCUCGGUGUAGUCAGUGUAUUAAUUUGACUUGAUUUCUUCUCAUCAACUGGUCUAACGUCUGGUACUUCCUUCUUCACAAGAGCCCGG